AGAGCGGCAGGUAGCCUAGUGGUUAGAGCGGCAGGUAGCCUAGUGGUUAGAGCGGCAGGUAGCCUAGUGGUUAGAGCGGCAGGUAGCCUAGUGGUUAGAGCGGCAGGUAGCCUAGUGGUUAGAGCGGCAGGUAGCCUAGUGGUUAGAGCGGCAGGUAGCCUAGUGGUUAGAGCGGCAGGUAGCCUAGUGGUUAGAGCGGCAGGUAGCCUAGUGGUUCGAGGAG